UUGCGUUUGAUUUAUUGAUCAAGCUUCAGACACUGAUUAAUCCAGAGUUCAAUGGUAGGCCACCGACGAGCAACGGGCCAGAGGGUCGAUGAGAACCCCCCGGCGGUCCCCGGAGGGACGGGCUCGCCGAAGCAACACAAGGGUCAAGUAGACAAAGGGUUGGGGGUUGGGCCAGAGAGACCCUAGCUCGAUAAUGAUCCUUCCGCAGGUUCACCUACGGAAA
rnacentral:misc_RNA from 1 species